GUCUGUCCAGUGGGUCCUCUAGAAGGGAGCAUUCCUGUUCCGAAGAGCUCAUGCACUUAACCAGAAAGACCAUCAUUAGGGUAUCACUUGGGAGAAGCAGCAUCCGUAGGCAAGACCACACCAUCACGGCAGAGCCACUGCUUGUGACUAGUGUGUGCAUCUGGGGCACUGCUUGUUUACUUACAAUAUGCAGCAGGACACGAAGACUGAAGACACCACAGUUUGCCCACAUUUCACACUCACUACAUACUUAGAAAUAUUGAAGUCAUCUCCCAAGCUUCACCAAGAG
rnacentral:lncRNA from 1 species